UGGCUCAGUUGGUAGAGCAUGGUGCUUGCAAUGCCACAGUUGUGGGUUCAAUACCCAC
rfam:Salmo salar isolate Sally breed double haploid chromosome ssa16, whole genome shotgun sequence.